GUGGCGAUCGUAGCCCUCUACGAUCCCUAUGAGAUCCUCGCGGCCGAACUCCACUCGCUGGAAUCCUACCUCAUCGGCUGCGACGGUGAAGGAGGAGAACGAGAGAUGGUGAUCAUUUUUUUUUUCCCUUUCUAUUUGUAAUUGAGCCGAUCAGGCUGGGUGGGGUUAGUUGAGUAGAAGAACUUUUUAUUUUUGAUUGGAUUGAGCUUUAUAUUUAGGUUUUAAUAGAUUUUUAAAAAAGUUUAGUCAUAAAUGGGACACUUACACAAAAAUAUCCGAAACAGGCUGGGUGGGGUUCGUUGAGUAGAAGAACUUUUUAUUUUUGUAUUGGAUUGAUCUUUAUAUUUAGGUUUUAGUCGAUUUUUAUUAAAGUUUUAGUCAUAAAUAGGAGACUUGCACAAAAAUAUCCGAUUUUUGUAUUCUUAUAAGCUAAAACUAUCGAAAUAAAUAUAUGGCAUUCCUAUUCCAUACUCUAAACUAGGUGAAUCAAACAUGCCCAUAAUGUCAUUUUUGAAUAAGAAAUAACUUCAUAUUAGCCAACACGGCAACACAUAAUACUGCACGUCUAUAUAUAGUGCAAUAAGUUUAGUCUACUUAUUUUUAAGUAAUUGUUCUCAACAUAUGUCAAUCGAAAGUGUAUGUUUGACAUAGUUAUGAAUUAAUAGUGACAAAAUAAAAUUUACAAAUUUACAAGGGCAAUAUGAUAGUAAAUAACUUUUGAGGGACUUGUUUGAAAUUGCCCUAAAACUCUAUUAUUUUAACAGGAUGCUACUCAAACCUAAUCAAGCACCUACUCAAGUGACUCAAGAGUCGGUAUUACAUAUAUUGUAUAAGGAAAAAAAAAUAAAUUACUAUGAUAUUUCAUAAAGAAGGAAUUUAUAAUUACAGAAUGGCUAAUGUUAAAGAAUAGCAAAUGCUAAAGGACAGCUAAUAUGGAAAAGAACAAUUAGCGAUAAAGAAUGGCUAAGAGUAAAGAAUGAUUAAGAAUAAUGAGAAGAAUUAACUAAUCUACUUGCAUGAGUUACAGGAACUGCAUAAUGUUCAUAUUGUAUAUUGUGAGACAUGUUAUCUGUAAGUUGCGUCAUAACAUGAUGCUAUAUAUAUCGGUAGAUGUUUUUUUGGACUAACAUGAUUACAGUGCCUCCUUAAACCUAUUGGUCGAGUUUUUUUCUUGGGUGGCCGUAUCCACUGGGAACCAUGGAGUUUGUUCUUACCUCACAUUGUUUUGCGGUGUUACAGGUUCACACGUGAGUGGCACAACGGCGCGAGGCAAGGGCGUAGCUCCGUAGAUAGUGCCCUACCCAGAAACCAGAGAUAGCAGUACCCCAAGUCGGCAUAGCCUAGGGGUAGAGGGAAAAGAAAAAGAACAAGUUGUAAUAAAUUCUAAGAUCUUGAUUGUAUUUGGAAGUUGAUUGAAAAAGGAAAUUGUGAUGUAAAAAUGUAUCUAGUGUGAAUGCUUGUAAUAGCAAGUAGAUUUAUGUUUUUGAUAUUUCCUUAUGCAAUCUUUGGUUGAAAUGUGUUCCUGGUUGGAACUUCGUACAUUGUAUUGAUUGCGACGCUUUGGACGUACAGGGGAGACUCUGUCCGCGGUACAGGAAAAAUCCUGUCCGUUCGGCGGUCUGUUGGCGUGCCCGAACCCGACCAAAUAGACGGGGCACAAUGCAUGACAAGUUUCCCUUAAGAUCAAAUGCCUUAAUGGCAUCCACCUUUUUGCAAAUAUUUUUCUUCUUUGGCAAUACGUAUAUCAGCAUUAUUCGGCUCAUUUCUGCCAAACUGAAUAUACAGUGUAGCAUUCGAACUUGGCUAGUCAGAUCCCUCAUCAGUCAAAUCAUUUGAUUCAAUUAUGGGCGCAAAUUUCAAGAGUCACUAUCAGAAGCCGCUCUAUUUCUUUGCAUGUUUUCCGAAGGGAGACAUUUGACCGAGUCAAUGGUUUAGGAGUUUGGCACAUAACAGUCAGUAAAUAUUAGUGAUAGCAUAUAUUGUCACCUAAUAUUAUUAUUUUUAAAGUUUAACAGUUCCAUAAAUAUUAUUCAGUGACAAAUAAGUAAUAUUUAAAGAUAAAUUAACUUGUCAUUAAUAUUAUUUUUAGUGACUUUUUUUUCAUGGCAAAAUUUAUUUGCCACCAGACCUACUGUGACAAUUUAUAGUGGUGGUAUUUGUCGUCACUAACACUAUUAGUGACAAUUUUUUUAUUUUAGAUGAUAAUUUGUUAUUGCCACUGAAAAUUUUUUUUUUUGUACUGGGCAUGUUUAGUUCAUGAUUAGAAUAGAGAUAGAAAAUGAAAUUAGAUUGCUUUAAAAUGAAAAAUGGAACGAUGAUUGAUCCAAAAAUAUUUGGUUCAUUACUAGAACGCAAAUUGGCGUGAAAUGAGAAUCUAGGAUUUUGAAAGAGCGUUUUGAUUAAGAAAGAGGAGUGAUGAAGGGAGAGGAGAGGAAGUUGUUUGUGAGAGAGGAUUUUGAGUAUUUUGGAAUUGGCAAAUUCAGGAUCCAAGCUAGAUUGGCCUACAACAAAAAUGGUGUAUAUCCACACUUUUAAAUGUCGGUACAGGUCAAAAAAAAGUGCUGCUGGCUAAAUUGCCGGCACUUUUUAAAACUGUUGCUAUAUUUGAUGUCGCUAUAUGUAGGGCCGCCUUAAUGCUUGUCGCCCACUCCUUUAGGGAUCUAUGGCGGAGAGACACGUGGCGAUCGUAGCCCUCUACGAUCCCUAUGAGAUCCUCGCGGCCGAACUCCACUCGCUGGAAUCCUACCUCAUCGGCUGCGACGGUGAAGGAGGAGAACGAGAGAUGGUGAUCAUUUUUUUUUUCCCUUUCUAUUUGUAAUUGAGCCGAUCAGGCUGGGUGGGGUUAGUUGAGUAGAAGAACUUUUUAUUUUUGAUUGGAUUGAGCUUUAUAUUUAGGUUUUAAUAGAUUUUUAAAAAAGUUUUAGUCAUAAAUAGGAGACUUACACAAAAAUAUCCGAAAAAUGUAUUCUUAUAAGCUAAUUUUGUUGUAGUGUGGAUCAUAAAUGAAUUUAGCCAUUUCCAUUUCCAAGUAAAAUAGGAAUUGAAAUUCGAUUUUUGUUAAACAAGCAAAAACUAUCGAAAUAAAUAUAUGGCAUUCCUAUUCCAUACUCUAAACUAGGUGAAUCAAACAUGCCCAUAAUGUCAUUUUUGAAUAAGAAAUAACUUCAUAUUAGCCAACACGGCAACACAUAAUACUGCACGUCUAU
rnacentral:lncRNA from 1 species